GGCUGAGGCAUGAUGUGGGAUGGGAGCCUGCCGAGCCAACCGAGGCAAAGAAACCUCUCGCGCCAGCUAAGGCGUGGAAGCCCGACGAGCCAGCUGAGGCACCCCCGGUUCCUUCAGCAGUGGCACCCGGUCCCGACGUCACCAACAAAACAAAAGAAUCCCUGAUGCUUCAAAUAUUGGUGUCAGCAUUCUGUAAGGACAGACGCUGGGAGUUGAGAAGCAAGUACAGGGAGUGAACAUUUAAUAAAUAACUGACAAGGAACAAACAAGGACAGCGUCUAAAGAGGGGAAACAUAAACGACAAUAAUGCUGACACGGGAACAAACUAAGGAACAGACAGAUAGAAGGGGCAAUCAACUAAGUGAAGGAGUCCAGGACCUAAGCCCUAGGACCAUGCCUCAGGACUACCUGGCCUGAUGACUCCUUGCUGUCCCCAGUCCACUUGGUCAUGCUGCUACUCCAGUUUCAACUGUUCUGCCUGCGGCUAUAGAACCCUGACCUGUUCACUGGAUGUGCUACCUUGUCCCGGACCUGCUGUUUUGGACCCCCUCUACCGCACCUGCUGUCUCUAACUCUGAAUGAUCGGCUAUGAAAAGCCAACUGACAUUUACUCCUGAGGUGCUGACCUGUUGCACAUUAUUAUUAUCUAACCCUGCUGGUCAUCUAUGAACAUUUGAACAUCUUGGCCAUGUUCUGUUAUAAUCUCCACCCGGCACAGCCAGAAGAGGACUGGCCACCUUUCACAGCCUGGUUCCUCUAGGUUUCUUCCUAGGUUCUGGACUUUCUAGGGAGUUUUUCCUAGCCACCGUGCUUCUACAUCUGCAUUGCUUGCUGUUUGGGGUUUUAGGCUGGGUUUCUGUACAGCACUUAGUGAGAUCGGCUGAUGUAAAAAGGGCUUUAUAAUUUGAUUGAUUUAACUUUAUGGCUAAAAAUAGGUCAAUUAGGGGCAGUUAAAAGAAGUACAAUACAUGGUUCAGAACCAAAAAAAGAAACAAAUAUAUGUUUUUUUAAGGAACAGAAAUGGAACGAAAGUGAUCCAUACAGUUCUGGAACAGAAACAGUUCGAUUCCCACGGGGGGCCAGUACAAAAAAAAUAUAUUAAAAAAAAUGCAUGAAAUGAAAUGUAUGAAAUGUAUUCACUACUGUAAGUCGCUCUGGAU
rnacentral:lncRNA from 1 species